rnacentral:lncRNA from 1 species
CAUUCAUUUGAAAUAUUCCUUUUUGACAUUUACUCACAUGUCUAUCCUAACUCAGCACAGAAUCAUUUGACACACAGAAACCAAAAGCUAUUGGUUCCACUGAGCUGUCACUCAAAAGCAGCCCGCCCAGUUGACUCCAGGGGGCUGCGUUGAGGACCUAUUUGAGGCCAGCCUGAUUCACACUGGUCUCAGUGGCAGCCCCUCUCCUCAGCUUCUCCUACAGACCAGAUGCUUCUACUCACUAGGGCUGCCUGGAGCUCACUGUGUUUAGCGGUGGUUGCCAUGGCAGCAGAGCUGACUCAGGACCAGGUGUCGUGGACCAGGAGAGAAGGGGAAGCCGUCUCCUUCAGGUGUACAGACACUGACCAGUGUACUGGUUCCUAUAUCUUCUGGUACCAGAAGAAAGAGAGCGAAACAUUCACCCUGAUUCUUGACAUUGGCAAGAGUAAUGGUGCGCUUGAUAAAAGUUACAACCAUCCUCAGAAGGAUGAUUUCUCAUCAGUCCUCAAAGAGAACAGCUGGGAGUUGUCACUUCAGCUGGUGAAAGCGUCCCAUUCCGCCACCUACUACUGUUCCUGUUGGACUAGUGGUGUCACACAGUGAGACGUUCUCCUUCCUGCCCGUACAAAAACUCUGGUGAUCACAAGACGCAUCAGAAGAUGUCUCAUUGGCUGUUCAAUCUACAGCCAUGCGCUAAUUUAAACUGGAUAUGACCAGUAAGAUGUGGAUCAAUCCCUGUUAUGUUACACAUUAAGGCACGUGUUGAGACUUUACCCUAUGCUGGUGUGUAUAGUGUCUAUGAUGUCGGGGGUACGAGUCCUCGCCGUGCCAUGUUGAGAAGGCCAGCAGCAGAAGGAAGAAUCCCUGUACUCCCAUACUGUCUGUAGUAUAGGCUUCAUUCCAAGCCUUGAUCUCUCCUUGCUACUGUGCUGAGUUAAUAUCAUCACUGAACUGGUUGCUGGUUUGGGGGAGGUGGAUCAAACUACAAAGUAACAGACAGACAUCUGGAGGCCCUAAUGGAAGUGGACGACUUUAGGCUCAAACCUCAAGAAACAACAAUCUAGUAAAAUACUGAACUCUGUGGUAAUAAAGCUCUCUCUGGAAGAUUUUACAUUUUCAUUCUUCAUGAGAGGGAACGAGUCUUCAGUUGUUAUUAAAGCCUACGAUGAAGAGAGAAGAAGACCUUGGAGUCAUUUCUGCUGAACACAAACAGUGACAUCUACUCUCCUGAUUUACUCUGCUGGCAUUUACAAAGCCCUCCUCUCAGGAUAAGAACAUUCAUCCCACGCCUCCCUUGUAGUGGUGCUGAUCAUCUGUAGGUGAUCGAUGUGAUCAACAAGUUAUUGAUCAGCGUUGACGGCAUCUCAGGCGGUGAGCAGAGGUUUAUGAUACAGGAUAUUUCACUGUGGAUAUCCCAACUUUUGGUCGUGGCACCACCCUGGUUGUUACAGGUAAGAUCACUGCUUCAUGGUUUCUAUGACUUUGUGUUUCAUUUUAUGUUGGGGAGAAUAUGAGUGUAUUAAUGUUUCCAGUUUUUUGGUUGUUUUUUGACCUCUUUGAGUUGUGCUGGAGAAGUCAGUGUUGUCUGAAGAUUCAUGUUCUGUCUGUACAGCUUAAAAUAUCACUAAUGCUAUUAAUAAACUAUGCAUCAGUAUAAUAUUAUUAUGAAUUAUCAUUAUGGGGACAAAAAUCAGCACAUGACAAUUUUCAAACCAAUAUUAAAAUUUUAAUAUUAUGCUAAUAAAAGCCAACAUUGACGUCAACAGUUUGCCAAUAUAAAUUAAAGCCUCCUUUUAAGUAGGAUCUGUUUCUAUUCUAUUCUAUUAUGUACAUUUGUAAUCUUCAAAACAAUUAUUAUUUCACAAAGUAGAAAUAAUAAUGUAAAAAUAUUAAUGAUAUUGUAUCUAUAUAAUGUUUAUUAUGGAAAAUGCUCAUGGUAUGUAUAUUGGGCUUGAUACAUAAAUCAGAUAUAUUAUAUGUAUAACAUAGUUUUAUAUGUAAAUAUUUAUUAUUCAAUUUUUUUUAGAUCGCUAAUGUAGUUUCUUUGACUACUUAAAAUGAUUUUAAUUACCAUGUUUAAAAUCGUAGUAAUAUUAAUUAUAGUAAUUAUGAAAAUAAAAUCAUAUUGCAAUUACAAAAUAUAAUAAUUUUACAAAAAUUUUGAAGUGAUUGCCUCCCUUCAUAUUGUUUUCAGAGUUAUUUAAUUCUUAAUAUAUGUUGUAAUAUGUAAUAUAAUAUUUCUGCUAAUAUAUCGACAGUUUUGACACCAUGUGACUUGUGUUCUGUCUCUCGAUU